GGGGUUGUGGCUCAGAGGUAGAGCACUUGCCUAGCAUGUGUGAGGUACUGGGUUCGAUUCUCAGCACCA
rnacentral:tRNA from 1 species